AAACUAUUAAUUAUCUUGUUUUGAAAACAGGGUUUAAGAUAUGAUCUUGUAGUUUUA
rnacentral:tRNA from 1 species